UCUACGGGCGGCAGCAGUGGGGAAUAUUGGACAAUGGGCGAAAGCCUGAUCCAGCCAUGCCGCGUGUGUGAAGAAGGCCUUCGGGUUGUAAAGCACUUUCAGUGGGGAAGAAAGCCUUGGGGCUAAUACCCUCGAGGAAGGACAUCACCCACAGAAGAAGCACCGGCUAACUCCGUGCCAGCAGCCGCGGUAAUACGGAGGGUGCGAGCGUUAAUCGGAAUUACUGGGCGUAAAGCGCGCGUAGGCGGUCUGAUAAGCCGGUUGUGAAAGCCCCGGGCUCAACCUGGGAACGGCAUCCGGAACUGUCAGGCUAGAGUGCAGGAGAGGAAGGUAGAAUUCCCGGUGUAGCGGUGAAAUGCGUAGAGAUCGGGAGGAAUACCAGUGGCGAAGGCGGCCUUCUGGACUGACACUGACGCUGAGGUGCGAAAGCGUGGGUAGCAAACAGGAUUAGAUACCCUAGUAGUC
rnacentral:rRNA from 1 species